rfam:Octopus bimaculoides Scaffold12729_contig_12, whole genome shotgun sequence.
CUAACGGCCCUUUUCAGGGCCCCUCAUUUUCUAUGCAUAGUCUUCU